UACGAAGGGGGCUAGCGUUGUUCGGAUUUACUGGGCGUAAAGCGCACGUAGGCGGGUCGUUAAGUCGGGGGUGAAAUCCUGGAGCUCAACUCCAGAACUGCCUUUGAUACUGAGGAGCUCGAGUCCGGAAGAGGUGAGUGGAACUGCGAGUGUAGAGGUGAAAUUCGUAGAUAUUCGCAAGAACACCAGUGGCGAAGGCGGCUCACUGGUCCGGUACUGACGCUGAGGUGCGAAAGCGUGGGGGAGCAAACAGG
rnacentral:rRNA from 1 species